GGCCUCGUAGUACAAUGCCCGCCCGGCAGACGCCAGUCGGACGGGGAUAGUAUAAGAGUUUCCGAAGCUCCAGAUUCAGGUUCGAUUCCUGACGAGGCUACCA
rnacentral:tRNA from 1 species